UUACCAUGCAGUCACGGGGGCCAGCAAUGGCAACCGGCGAACGGGUGCGUAACACGUGAGCAACCUACCGAAAUGAGGGGGAUAGCCGUCCCAACGGACGGGUAAUACCGCAUACGCUCGAGACCAGGCAUUUGGACUCGAGGAAACCUCCGGGGCGUUUCGAGGGGCUCGCGGCCUAUCAGCUAGUUGGUGAGGUAACGGCUCACCAAGGCGACGACGGGUAGCUGGUCUGAGAGGAUGGCCAGCCACAUUGGGACUGAGAUACGGCCCAGACUCCUACGGGAGGCAGCAGUGGGGAAUCUUGCGCAAUGGCCUAACGGCUGACGCAGCGACGCCGCGUGAGGGAUGACGCUCUUCGGAGUGUAAACCUCUUUUGCCUGAGACGAAUUGUCAGCUUUAGCUGAUUUGACUGUAUCGGGUGAAUAAGCACCGGCUAACUCCGUGCCAGCA
rnacentral:rRNA from 1 species